UUAAUUGAAGCCAAAGGGGAAAGGCAUUUCAUUGUUAAUGAAAUCAUUGAAUAAUUAUUCCAAUUAAA
rnacentral:tRNA from 1 species